rnacentral:rRNA from 1 species
UUGGGCGAGAGUAGUACUAGGAUGGGUGACCUCCUGGGAAGUCCUCGUGUUGCAUCCCU